rnacentral:rRNA from 1 species
GACGAACGCUGGCGGCGUGCUUAACACAUGCAAGUCGAACGGUGAAGCUCCAGCUUGCUGGAGUGGAUCAGUGGCGAACGGGUGAGUAACACGUGAGCAACCUGCCCCUGACUCUGGAAUAAGCGCUGGAAACGGCGUCUAAUACUGGAUACGAGAAGGGUCCGCAUGGGCACUUUCUGGAAAGUUUUUCGGUUGGGGAUGGGCUCGUGGCCUAUCAGCUUGUUGGUGAGGUAAUGGCUCACCAAGGCGACGACGGGUAGCCGGCCUGAGAGGGCGACCGGCCACACUGGGACUGAGACACGGCCCAGACUCCUACGGGAGGCAGCAGUGGGGAAUAUUGCACAAUGGGCGAAAGCCUGAUGCAGCGACGCCGCGUGAGGGAUGACGGCCUUCGGGUUGUAAACCUCUUUCAGCAGGGAAGAAGCGAAAGUGACGGUACCUGCAGAAGAAGCACCGGCUAACUACGUG